rnacentral:rRNA from 1 species
CAAUAGCGUAUAUUAAAGUUGUUGCGGUAAAAAAGCUCGUAGUUGGAUUUCUGUUGAGAGCGACCGGUCCAUACCAUGUAUGCGUAUCUGGCUUGCUCUCGGCAUCCUCUCGAUAGACGUUACUGCGCUUGAUUGCGUGGUGCGGAUCUCGGGACUUUUACUCUGAGGAAAUUAGAGUGUUCACGGCAGGCUUUCGCCAGAAUACAUUAGCAUGGAAUAAUACUAUAGGAUCUUGGUUCUAUUUUGUUGGUUUCUAGAAUUGAGAUAAUGAUUAAUAGGGACAAUUGGGGGCAUUCGUAUCAACACGUCAGAGGUGGAAUUCUUGGAUUGUGUUGCGACGAACUACUGCGAAAGCAUUUGCCAAGGAUGUUUUCAUUGA